rnacentral:rRNA from 1 species
AUUGAACGCUGGCGGCAGGCCUAACACAUGCAAGUCGAGCGAGCGGCGGACGGGUGAGUAAUGUAUGGGGACUGCCCGAUAGAGGGGGAUAACUACUCGAAACGGUAGCUAAUACCGCAUACUAUCGGAUAACCCAUAUGGGAUUAGCUAGUAGGUGAGGUAAUGGCUCACCUAGGCGACGGUCCCUAGCUGGUCUGUGAGGAUGAUCAGCCACACGGGGACAGGGAUACGGCCCAGACUCCUUCGGGGGCAGACGUGGGGAAUAUUGCACAAUGGGCGCAAGCCUGAUUCAGCGAUGCCGAGUGUAAGAAUGAGGCCCUAGGGUUGUAAAGUACUUUCAGUCGGGAGGAGUUACCGACAGAAGAAGCACCAGCUAACUCCGUGCCAACAGCCGCGGUAAUUC